rnacentral:rRNA from 1 species
UACGGGGGGGGCAAGCGUUGUUCGGAAUUACUGGGCGUAAAGGGCUCGUAGGCGGCCAACUAAGUCAGACGUGAAAUCCCCAGGCUCAACCUGGGAACUGCGUCUGAUACUGGUUGGCUUGAAUCCGGGAGAGGGAUGCAGAAUUCCAGGUGUAGCGGUGAAAUGCGUAGAUAUCUGGAGGAACACCGGUGGCGAAAGCGGCUCACUGGAUCGAAACUGACGCUGAGGUGCGAAAGCUAGGGUAGCAAACGGG